UACGUAGGGUGCAAGCGUUAAUCGGAAUUACUGGGCGUAAAGCGUGCGCAGGCGGUGAUGUAAGACAGAUGUGAAAUCCCCGGGCUCAACCUGGGAACUGCAUUUGUGACUGCAUCGCUGGAGUGCGGCAGAGGGGGAUGGAAUUCCGCGUGUAGCAGUGAAAUGCGUAGAUAUGCGGAGUAACACCGAUGGCGAAGGCAAUCCCCUGGGCCUGCACUGACGCUCAUGCACGAAAGCGUGGGGAGCAAACAGG
rnacentral:rRNA from 1 species